rnacentral:rRNA from 1 species
GACGAACGCUGGCGGCGUGCUUAACACAUGCAAGUCGAACGGAAAGGCCCUGCUUUUGUGGGGUGCUCGAGUGGCGAACGGGUGAGUAACACGUGAGUAACCUGCCCUUGACUUUGGGAUAACUUCAGGAAACUGGGGCUAAUACCGGAUAGGAGCUCCUGCUGCAUGGUGGGGGUUGGAAAGUUUCGGCGGUUGGGGAUGGACUCGCGGCUUAUCAGCUUGUUGGUGGGGUAGUGGCUUACCAAGGCUUUGACGGGUAGCCGGCCUGAGAGGGUGGCCGGCCACAUUGGGACUGAGAUACGGCCCAGACUCCUACGGGAGGCAGCAGUGGGGAAUACUGCACAAUGGGCGGAAGCCUGAUGCAGCAACGCCGCGUGCGGGAUGACGGCCUUCGGGUUGUAAACCGCUUUCGCCUGUGACGAAGCGUGAGUGACGGUAAUGGGUAAAGAAGCACCGGCUAACUACGUG